rnacentral:rRNA from 1 species
GCUUAACACAUGCAAGUCGAGCGCCCCGCAAGGGGAGCGGCAGACGGGUGAGUAACGCGUGGGAACGUACCAUUUGCUACGGAAUAACUCAGGGAAACUUGUGCUAAUACCGUAUGGCCCGAAAGGGGAAAGAUUAUCGGCAAAUGAUCGGCCCGCGUUGGAUUAGCUAGUUGGUGGGGUAAAGGCCUACCAAGGCGACGAUCCAUAGCUGGUCUGAGAGGAUGAUCAGCCACACUGGGACUGAGACACGGCCCAGACUCCUACGGGAGGCAGCAGUGGGGAAUAUUGGACAAUGGGCGCAAGCCUGAUCCAGCCAUGCCGCGUGAGUGAUGAAGGCCCUAGGGUUGUAAAGCUCUUUCACCGGUGAAGAUAAUGACGGUAACCGGAGAAGAAGCCCCGGCUAACUUCGUGCCAGCAGCCGCGGUAAUACGAAGGGGGCUAGCGUUGUUCGGAUUUACUGGGCGUAAAGCGCACGUAGGCGGGCUAAUAAGUCAGGGGUGAAAUCCCGGGGCUCAACCCCGGAACUGCCUUUGAUACUGUUAGUCUUGAGUAUGGUAGAGGUGAGUGGAAUUCCGAGUGUAGAGGUGAAAUUCGUAGAUAUUCGGAGGAACACCAGUGGCGAAGGCGGCUCACUGGACCAUUACUGA